UACGUAGGGGGCAAGCGUUGUCCGGAUUUAUUGGGCGUAAAGAGCGUGUAGGCGGCCAUACAGGUCAGCUGUGAAAACUCGAGGCUCAACCUCGAGACGUCGGUUGAAACCGUAUGGCUAGAGUCCGGAAGAGGAGAGUGGAAUUCCCGGUGUAGCGGUGAAAUGCGCAGAUAUCGGGAAGAACACCCGUGGCGAAGGCGGCUCUCUGGGACGGUACUGACGCUGAGACGCGAAAAGCGUGGGGAGCGAACAGG
rnacentral:rRNA from 1 species